rnacentral:rRNA from 1 species
CACGUAGGCGGCUUUCUAAGUCGGGGUGAAAUCCUGGAGCUCAACUCCAGAACUGCCUUCGAUACUGGAAAGCUCGAGUCCGGGAGAGGUGAGUGGAACUGCGAGUGUAGAGGUGAAAUUCGCAGAUAUUCGCAAGAACACCAGUGGCGAAGGCGGCUCACUGGCCCGGUACUGACGCUGAGGUGCGAAAGCGUGGGAGCAAACA